AGGCAAUCGUAUGUUCCAUAUUCUUCUUCACGCCAACACACUAGCGCGUGGGCCUCGGCCGCUGGCCCACCUGCUCACCUAACCUUAUCUCUUCCUCACGCUCACCAAGCCUUAUCUCUUCCUCACGAGACUCCUCAACCAUUCGUUCUCCACUGCCGCUCUAUCUAUGUGUCUCUCUCAAUCCAAUUCAAGCAUGGCGACUGCAAGCAAGGUCAGUUUUGCGAGUUCUUGGCCGCAUCGCUGGGUUGCAUGGGGUGGUGAUGCUGCAACACCAGGUGGGCGCCGACGGGCCUGAUGGUGGUGCGGGGGACGCACCCAUGGAUGCUGGCGAGAGCUACAACCAUGACGCUUCAACCGGUCUGUGAAAAGCUUCAACCUUGGAAAAAGCUUCAAUGGCCAUGGAAAGGAGAGCCUCAAUCCGGCAUGCCGGUCGACGGCAUGGGCGGUGCUGCACCGCCACCAAGCUACAUCCAUCACCACGCGGAGCUGCAUACUACAGAGGGCACAUCUAUUGCAUGAGUGGAGCCAGGGACGAGGGCGGCGACUGGUGAUGAGGACAGACGGCAAGGGCGCCGACCGGCGACCGGCGACGAGGACGUCGCGGUGGUGGUGGGGCCGCAGGGGGUGCAGAGCGUUGGCGGUGGUGGUGGGGCCGCGGGGGGGUAGAUCCACAUUUUCUUCGCAGGGGAGUGGGAGGGGGCGAGGCCGACUGCGAGGAGGACGAAGCUGGGGUCAGAUCUGACGGUUUUAAUUGCGCGUAUCGGGCGGCCAGGGCUGGACCGGCCCAACUGUUCCGCCGGUGCGCCGGCGCCUAGCGUCUCCCCUCUAUUAUUGGUUAAUUGUUAAUGUUUGCCUGGUGAAGGCCAAAAUUUCCGCUACGGGGCCAUACUAAUUCGUGUCGACUGUGUAAGUGUGUAUCAUCUGGAUCAGUUUCAGUUUGCUCACCGAAGCCUUUACCCGUCC